AACGAACGCUAGCGGCAGGCCUAACACAUGCAAGUCGAGGGGCAUCACGGGUAGCAAUAUCUGGUGGCGACCGGCGCACGGGUGAGUAACACGUAUGCAACCUGCCUGUAAGAGGGGAAUAACCCGGAGAAAUUCGGACUAAUACCGCAUAAUACCACGAGACUGCAUGGUUUUGUGGUUAAACAUUUAUGGCUUACAGAUGGGCAUGCGUAUGAUUAGAUAGUUGGUAGGGUAACGGCCUACCAAGUCUACGAUCAUUAGGGGUUCUGAGAGGAAGGUCCCCCACACUGGUACUGAGACACGGACCAGACUCCUACGGGAGGCAGCAGUGAGGAAUAUUGGUCAAUGGGCGAGAGCCUGAACCAGCCAAGUCGCGUGAAGGAAGAAGGUUCUAUGGAUUGUAAACUUCUUUUGCAGGGGAAUAAAGGACGGUACGUGUACUGUUUUGUAUGUACCUUGCGAAUAAGGAUCGGCUAACUCCGUGCCAGCAGCCGCGGUAAUGCUACG
rnacentral:rRNA from 1 species